rnacentral:rRNA from 1 species
GACGAACGCUGGCGGCGUGCCUAAUACAUGCAAGUAGAACGCUGAAGGAGGAGCUUGCUUCUCUGGAUGAGUUGCGAACGGGUGAGUAACGCGUAGGUAACCUGCCUGGUAGCGGGGGAUAACUAUUGGAAACGAUAGCUAAUACCGCAUAAUAGUAGAUGUUGCAUGACAUUUGCUUAAAAGGUGCAAUUGCAUCACUACCAGAUGGACCUGCGUUGUAUUAGCUAGUUGGUGAGGUAACGGCUCACCAAGGCGACGAUACAUAGCCGACCUGAGAGGGUGAUCGGCCACACUGGGACUGAGACACGGCCCAGACUCCUACGGGAGGCAGCAGUAGGGAAUCUUCGGCAAUGGACGGAAGGCUGACCGAGCAACGCCGCGUGAGUGAAGAAGGUUUUCGGAUCGUAAAGCUCUGUUGUAAGAGAAGAACGAGUGUGAGAGUGGAAAGUUCACACUGUGACGGUAUCUUACCAGAAAGGGACGGCUAACUACGUG